AUUCGAGUUCGAAAUGUGAGUGCAGAAUUCCGUGGAGUUGCUGUGAUUUCCGAGUUGUGUGUGUGUGCUGAUGUGCGAGUUUGGAGAACUUGAUGUUUCUUUUUCUUAGAGAGUUGUGAUAAUGACUUAUCAUUUUAGUAGUCAUAUUUAAGGGAGUUAAUUGGGAGACGUUCAGUUAGUAUUUCUGACCUUUUUGAGAUCGUUGUUUGAUAGAAGUAGUAUGUUUGGGUUAAUUUUCUUAGAUUGACCAAAGACCUGACUGACAUACUAACGCCCAAAAGUUCACCGACACCAGCAAGACGUCCACCAGCCGUGAAGAGAGGUUGCUGCCAUGUUGUCCAUGGUGAUUACAAGUAUUUCCACGUGGGUGUUCGAGAGAAUUCUACAGCGUGUUUUUGGGGAUCUACAAGAAGCCGUGAGAGUCUUCUACGAUGAGGGAGGCAUUCCGUCUUCCUACAGUUGCUACAGCCUGCUAUAGCCUGUUGCUGUCUGUGCAGCUACUUGCAGACAAGCGAAGAGGGAUAUUCAAGAAUCCUAAUGCAGAAAAUAUGGGAGAAAAUGCGUCUUGGGUUAUUGGGAGAUUAAAGCGUGAUAAGACUUUAUUUUAUAAUGCCAGAGACGUGCAGUUUUACUUAUUUUGUUUUAAGCCGGCCAAUGUUUUAUAUUAUAUAAGCAAUUCUGCUAGGCGGGAGCUAGCAUAUAGGUGCGAGGCCGAGCAAUCUGUAAGACAUAGGGUUUUGAUUAAUUAUAUAUUGUUCGUGCAUUCUCUGUAACCUGUGGAAUGUGGAGGACAGGGCAGAGUAACGACCUGAGGGUAGCUGAUCAAUGAGUUGCUAGGGGAUGGCGUGAGAUAAAAGUGCUUAGUUCGUCGAGUCAAUGUACGACAGUUUAUGAACUCUUCCCAAAGUGCCUUUGUGAAACUAGAUGCAGCUAGAACCGCGAGGCGCUAGCGAACUGUGUGUUCGUAUGUGCGUGUGCGCCUCUUUCUGUUAAAAGCGUUCAUACCCAAGCCUAUGGGAGGGAUUUUGACAGAGGGCUUCGAGUCAUAGGCAAAGAUGCCGUGGCAUUCGCCGGGGGGAGUUUUUUGACAUAGUGUUUAGUGCCCGGUUGGGAAUGGAUGGUUCUGGAUUUCUGUGGGACAGAGUUCCCAGGGAAAGGUGUGACCUUUUGGGUGACUUGACAAUGAGUUGUUUUAAGUUAGUCUGUAAGACUGGAUUACUUAGUUAACCGACUUAGUUGUUAUUGUAAAUAAACGUUAUGUUAUGA